rnacentral:lncRNA from 1 species
GAAACAAAGCUCUGCGUGAAAAAUUAAGAGCGGCAAAACUCCCGCUUUUGUUUCACCCACCUCAUAUCAUUUCAGCCCCCACACACAUUUUUGUCCACACACACUCACCUCACUCACCUUCUAUAAUCACCGGUGUCUUCAAACUCAGCUCUUCGACGAUUGGGUAACUUUUGGGGACAACUGAAUCGAGUUCUCUCUCAAUCGAUUUCAUCGUUAUUAGGGUUUUGGUUUCAGGUCUUCAAUCGCAGGCUUUGAUUCAAAGCUUCUUCAUUGAAUGGAACUAGGGCUUUAGAUUCAUAUUGCCUUGUAAUUUAUUUGAAAGAUUUGAAUUAGGGAUUUCAUUUUAGUUAUGUUAAUUUGUGUCUCGUUUGUUUCAGGACUUCAAUUAAAUUAGGGAUCCNCUUUUUAUCAAAAUAAAAUAACUCAUUUUCGAAAAAUAAAAUAAGUCAAAGGGAUCAAGAUUAAGUAUGAAAAUAAAUAAAAACUGAAGAAGGAUAAAUAAAAGUUAUAAAACGUAGUUGACUUGAGACAUACUCCCUUUAUCCCAAAUUAGAUGAGCUCGACUUUGGGCACACACUUUAGGGUCUAUUGACCGCAUAGCUACAUUAUUUAUUGUUAAAAUUUUACUUUUGCAAAUAAAAAUCCAGAUAUAAAAUUUUCAUUAACAAAAGAAAAAUCAAAAAAAUUAAAUUUUAGAACUAGGCGGUCAAUGCACUUAAAGUUACGUGCCCAAAAUCAACUAGCUCAUCUAAUUUGGGAUGGAGGUAGUAUUAAAGAUAAGGGAUAGAAUAUUAUUAAAGAUAGAUAUUAAGAAAUAGAAGAAAAAUAAAUUGUUAUAGAAAAUAUGAAGCUGCGAGUAAAAUAUCUAAAAACAAGAAGUGUUAAAGAAAUGAAUAUGAGAUUAACAUGCUGGUGGCUAGCUGGUAAUUAAGGAGUUAAAGAAAGCAACAUCUCCCACUUGGCCAAAGCAUAAUACAAAAUAAUCUUGCACGAAAAAUAAAUAGGCCUCCAAAGAGUUGACCUGUAUUUGUUAGUAGUAAUCAAUCAGAGUCGUGUUGUUAAGUAGCAAUAGUACAUUAAACAUUGACACCCAUAAGAGCUGUUUAUUGAAGCCGAGUGAUCCUGAUCCAGAAGAAGAGGAUGAUAAAUCAAAACCUGAGCUCGUUGUUCAUCGGACUGUUGGGUGCAACAAUAACACUCUCUGCAUAUUCACAAGACGUCAUGUCUCCGACACAAUGCAUCGGAACAGGUCUCUUUGUUCUCAUGUUUGGUCUUCUUGUUAAGGAAGGUUUCAUCUCUUUUUAGUUACUGACUACUUAUGUAGCUCUAGCUCUCUUCUUUUUCUUUUCUUUGUGUAUUUUGAGCUACUUUGCUUACAGCCUUACAAUAUGUAUGUCGUUGUUGUUUCCAAAUUCCAAGAUUGGUUAUGUAGUUUGGUCUUUCUAGUUUCUAUCUAUAAACAUGUGAGUUUGUGUUCCACAAUAAGAGGAGUACCCUUUUACCGUAUCCUAAUCGGGAUCAACGAUGGUAAUGCUAAUGAGGCCUUUAAUUUAUUCUGCAUCGGGUGAGAUGUAAGAUUGCUUUGUGUUUGCGUAGAUCAUUUGUCAACUUCGUUUCAAAGCUAACCUCUUAAUCUCAGCACUUUGUUUAGUUUUACUGUUUGCAUGCAUUUUAAGACUUCUAUAAAAUAUAAUUCUACAAUAUUUUUUUAUUUUUUAAUAAAAAUUCAAACAUUAAAUUUUUGUUGAAGAAAAAAAAUUCAUGAAACUAUAAUUUAUACUUCAAAAUACGUGUCAAAAAAUAGAUGCCAUCUGGUACGAAAACAGCCCAGCCUUAGAAAUUGUUGUAUACUUCAGUUUUUAUAACCGUGUGCUCAAAAAUAAGUCGCCGCCUGCAAUUCAUGUGUAUAGGAGCGAAGUCAUACUAAGCUUUGUUCAUCAAUCACUAUCGGGAUUGUGCUCGUCUCUAUUGCAAAAGAAAAUCAUGGACUUUGCAGUAGUAUGAUAAUUCAUCAAUGGGUCUGUACUUGGAACGGACGGAUAAUAUUUUUGGUUAUAAACCAGUUCGACUUUUAUAAGUUUGAAUAUUCCUACUCGAUUUAAUUGUACAAAAAGGACUCAAAGCCCUAGAACAGUAAAUCUUCUGGCGUAACAUGGAGACGUAUUUUUAUAAGAAAUGUUUGGUGUACGUAAUUGUGUACAUAAAAAUUAUACCAUACGAAGUGGAUUUUAAUUGGAAUGAGCAUUUACAUCAACAAAUUCAAUUAAAACUUAUCACAUCAAUUAUCAUGUCAUUAUGUACAAAUUUUCUAAACUCCAUUAUAAAAAAUGAAGAAAAGUACAUUAUAAAGACAGUUACAUUCCUUUAAACACUACAUCAUUGGGCUGGACCAAGCCCUGUAACCCAUCCCUACGCUUACCGCAGUUAUAACAUCUUGGCCUAUAUUGUCAUUCAGCCCAAAUCGUGACACGGGCCUCUCCACCUUCCAUUUUCAAUACGCCUUCUCCCAAAAUACUAAGCAAAAAUUAAUGCUACAGUCCUGAACAUAAGAUUAUGGGGCCGUUUGGCUUAGCUUCAAAGAAGUGACUUAUUACUUAAAGUAAAGAAAUGGAUUAAAACUGAUAAGUAAACUUGACUUAUAAGUUAUUAAAAGUGUUUGGAUAACUUUUGUUUAUAAGUCAAUUGAGAGUGUGGUAAUUUAAAUUUAUAAAUUUUAAAAAAAUUCAAAUUAUUAAAAUAAAUAAAAAGUUUAUUAAUAAAUAAAGUUUGUUAAAUAUUAAAAUUUUUAAAACUUCAUAAUAAAAUGCAAAUACUGAAAAAGCUCAAAAGAAGCUAGCAAUCCUUACUUCCAGCUUCUGACUUAAAAAACCCAAAAAAACACCUCGGCUUAUUUUUGCCAAACACUCUGUGAAAAGUAGAAGCUGCUUAAAAUGAUAAAAGAAGCCCAGAAGCACUUCCAAAAAGCUUAGCCAAACACCCACUAUUACUACUAUCCGCCAGCUGGUAAGUUGAAAGAAAGUCCAACAAUAUCAUGCAAAAAUAGUGUUCACUCAUUUAGUACAUUAUUUUCAUUAUCUAUAAACAACAACAACAACAUGUCUUAUGUUGAUAAAAAUGAUUUAGGAUAUGUAUAGUGCUUCUUUGAAAAUAAAACACUCGUCGUACGUCCUAGUAUAUUAAAUCACUACUGUUAAAACACUUGAUUCUUCGGGAUGUCUUAGAUUUGAAUUGAGGUCAUUAUUAGACUUGCGCCAACGUGAACUCGAUUACUUAAUACUGGAACUAAAAUAUAAACCCGUAUUCUGGAUAAGGAACUCCUUACGGCAAUGUUAAUUAUCACCCCUCCUUAACGAAACUGAAAGUUCAUGAAGACAUGUUUUACCAUGUUGGCAGCAUUUUCCAUCAACUCCUGUGUUUAGAAUCCUGAUGGGCGUUUAUGAAACCACACCAAAUCCUUGACAUGGAGGACCUCCUUAUCACUGUAAACAUAACUAUUCAUUAUUCUUUAUUCAAAAGAAAAAACUAUUCAUUAUUCUUGAACCAAACAGAUAAAAAGGAUAAUUAUGUUUCAAUAAGAAUGUCUAGUAAUAAAUAUUGUGUGUCUGAAUAAUGAUUCUUAAUGAUCCUCACAGAAAAAGGUUCGGAAUGAUAUAUAAUACACCUGUCCCGGUCCAUUUUGACUUUUGAUCAGUCAAAUUUACUAUAUUUUGACUAAACUUUACAUGUAUCAGAUAAUUGAUAAAAAUAAUAGAAAAUUAUAUUAUUAGAAAGUAUAUUUCGUCUAAUUUAGUGUGCAAAUUUCAGAUUUUAGAAAUAAUAAGUAGAUAAUUUGUAAUGUUUGGUCAAAAUUUGAUCAAUUUGACUCCUCAAAAAGCUGAAUCAACAUGUAAAAGGGACCGAGGAAGUAUAACUAUAAGUGUAUUGCUAACUAUAUUUUAAGCAGGAUAUAGUAUUCUUCCGGUUGUUUAUAAGUCAAGGAGAUUGAAGUAUGAAUUUCGUAAAGAAGAAACUUGGUAUCAAAUAAGAAAAAAAAUAUAUUAGUACGAUCAUAAGAUAAUUCUACAGAACUUGUUUUUGUACAAUUUUUAGGAACGAAGUUGUAGAAUCUAUAUAUUAAUUUCUGUUUUCUGUUCUUAAUUAUUUUUCUUCUUAAAUUGAAAUAGGAUCAAACAUCACUUUUUUUAGUACUAUUUUUAUAUUUUAAAAAAUAAAAAACAACUUUUUAGGUACUAAGCCAUAACUAAAUUUCAAUAAUCAAGAUAUUUUUAUUUUAUUUUCUAUAUUUUUGAAGCAUUUCCACCUUGUCAAAGUUACAUGUUUACUCCUCUCAUCGAUAACUUAAUUACUAGCUACUACUACAUAAUUUAGCAAUUUUGCGAUUAGUUCCGGGGACUAGUCAUGUCACGCAGCUACCGAAUCAUUUGUUUCGUAACCUUCGAAAAAUGCACCUGCAAAUUCUGUUGUGAAAUUAGGUCAUCAUGCAUCAAGUAGCUUAGACGAAUCAAGCAAAUAAAAACGAAUCAACUUUCAUCAGCAAUUCAAACCAGUAACCUCUUGCCAGUAAUCUCUUGAACAUCAUCACAAAUCUCGCAUAAGAAAAUGAAGCGAAGAUGUAGCCAGGAAUGACUUGCCAACCGCUUGGCACUUACCACCAACAUGGCCGGCAAGUCAUCCUUGGCUGCAACACACUGCUUCAUUCCCACAUGCAAGACUUUAGAUGAGAUUUUCUUGUCACCUUUUCAACUAAUAUUUCAAGAAACAGAUCUUUCUCUUUACUCUCCAAAGAUUGAGAUUUCCCAAAAGAGAGGAGCAAAGAAGGAGAGUUAGAAGCAAAGGGAUUGGCUUGUUGAAGUCUGUUUAUAAACAAACUCUAGCUUACUUUCAUAAAUUGGUGAGUAUUUAAUGAUACUGAGUAGCUGCAAAUCUGGGAAAAGAUCUCAGUUCUUGCCCAAUGGACAACUCCAAUAAAUCAUUUUUUUUUUUGUUGAUAUUAUUUGAAAUUUAUUGUCUAGAAUGAUAGAACUUAAUUAUUGACUAAUGGUCAAGAACUUGGAUGUGAAGUUUCAUGGCUGGGGAUGCCAUACCAAGAAAAAGUUAAGGGUGACCAUGACCCUAUAUUGAGUAGCUUCUGAAAUCGUAUCAAUUAAGGCCAUGUCUGCUGCAGGAUGCAGGUGAUCUACAUGAAAGAGAGUCUUGUAUUUAUUAAAAGCUACUGUCAUGCAUGGCCAUUUACAAAUUUUAGUUAGGUGAGUCAAUUUACUUCGGCUACGCGUUUGCAGAGUAAACCUCGUUUGGUUUAAUCCACUCGUGUUUACUUCAAACCAUAUCGAAUAAUUACUCUAAACCAUAUCGUUUUUAUUGACUUACUCUGCCUCGUCUAAUCAUAUCAUAGGUUUUAUUAUUUAUUUUUUUUAAAAGAAAAGAAAAAUGCAGCUGAAAGCAUAAUGUUGCUGAUUCAUGAAAUAAAAUCCUAGAAGGGUAGGACAAUCAUCAAGUUGGUGUGAUAUUUUUAUUUUGUUACACUUGUGUGUGUAUAUAUUAUCAUGGGAACGUAUAUCAUGCACAUUAGAAAGAAAAAAAAGAACAAAGAAGUGUUUUUGUUCGGUUUGCUGAUCACUCCUUCGGGACAAAAUCUUGAGUAUAUGAGCUGUUUACGAAUGGAUCCUUGUUACUGUAGUGGAGUUCAUAUCCGUUUUUAAUAUAUGAACAACCACUUCUUCUUGCACGAGCUAUGAAGAUUGCAUGAACAAGGAGAUCCCGGAUGAUAAAUUAUCAAUCGUUCACGGAUGUGGUACGUAUCAUUUUGUAAUUAAUAGAUUAAUUAUGUAUAUCUAAUUUGUGAAACUGCAUAUAAGCUAUUCCCUUGAAUGGGGAGUUACAUAAAUAAUAUAUGCUCUAUUUUAUUUACUCAAAGAUGAAAUUUAAAGAAACAAAAAAAAACCUGGCUUACGUACUAAGGGCUUUGUUUUGCAUAAACUCAAAAUUGAAUGUAGCACAAUGCCAUAUGAAUCAUAUGCCAUAAAGGAUAAUGGUUCAUUCCAGGGUGCACCGCAAUUUCAAUUACUUUUAACAUAUAUAAGGAGGUCACUACGCCAUAUAUGAGCUAUGGCAAUGGUUUGAUCAUUGGUGUUGCAAUGUUAUGUUGCAUUAGAGGCACUAAUCCAUACCUACCGCAACGAUAAUCAUUCAUGUCCAUUUGAUGUUGCGAUAGCCAAAACUAUGUGUUGCAUAGAGUAUUUGUAGAAUAAUUAUUUAUAAUAUGAUAAUAAAAUUUAAAGCUAAAAUACUUUUAAAUUAUUAAUUAAUAAGAUAUAAUAUAUUAAACAUGAAAGAACUAAAUAUUGAAAUACAAUAUAAUAUACAUGUGAAAACACUGAAUUCUUAAAUAAUAUUAAUUUCAUUAUAAUAAAUUUUUAAUGUAAUUAAUUAUAAUAAAGAUAAUAACUUUGAAACUAAUUGAUUAUUAAGAAAAUAAUGACAUUGAAAUUUAUAUUUUUUUAAAAUAAAAUUGUUAUUUUUAAAAUAUCAAAGAAAUUGGAAAUGAUAUUUAAGAUGAAUCCUUCGUAUUAGCAAGACAAUAAAAAAAAAUCGAAACAAAGCUCUGCGUGAAAAAUUAAGAGCGGCAAAACUCCCGCUUUUGUUUCACCCACCUCAUAUCAUUUCAGCCCCCACACACAUUUUUGUCCACACACACUCACCUCACUCACCUUCUAUAAUCACCGGUGUCUUCAAACUCAGCUCUUCGACGAUUGGGUAACUUUUGGGGACAACUGAAUCGAGUUCUCUCUCAAUCGAUUUCAUCGUUAUUAGGGUUUUGGUUUCAGGUCUUCAAUCGCAGGCUUUGAUUCAAAGCUUCUUCAUUGAAUGGAACUAGGGCUUUAGAUUCAUAUUGCCUUGUAAUUUAUUUGAAAGAUUUGAAUUAGGGAUUUCAUUUUAGUUAUGUUAAUUUGUGUCUCGUUUGUUUCAGGACUUCAAUUAAAUUAGGGAUCCACUCCAACAUGAAUGGCUUGAGUCGAAUUAGGGCUUUUCACUUCAAUUGGGGCUUCGAAUUCUUGGAUUGUGAUUUAA